rnacentral:rRNA from 1 species
GUAAGCUACUAAGAGCAAAUGGUGGAUGCCUUGGCUAGUAGAGGCGAUGAAAGACGUGCCAGGCUGCGAUAAGUCUCGGGGAGCCGUCAAGGGGCUUUGAUCCGGGAAUUUCUGAAUGGGGCAACCCAGUAUAUAGUGAUAUAUACUACCGCAAUGCGGAGCUAACGUUGGGAAUUGAAACAUCUUAGUACCAACAGGAAAAGAAAUCAAAAGAGAUUACGCUAGUAGCGGCGAGCGAACGCGUAAGAGGGCAAACCGUUAGUUUACUAACGGGGUUGUAGGACUGCAACAUAGACUUAAACAAACUAAUAGAAUAACCUGGAAAGGUUGGCCAUAGAGGGUGAUAGCCCCGUAUAUGAAAGUGCGUUUAUACUUAGCAGUAUCCUGAGUAGGGCGGGACACGUGAAAUCCUGUCUGAAGCUGGGGAGACCACUCUCCAACCCUAAAUACUACUACUAGACCGAUAGUGCACAAGUACCGUGAGGGAAAGGUGAAAAGAACUGAGGUGAUCAGAGUGAAAUAGAACCUGAAACCAUUUGCUUACAAUCAUUCAGAGCACGAUUCUUUAUGACGUGUGAUGGACUGCCUUUUGCAUAAUGAGCCUGCGAGUUGUGGUGUCUGGCGAGGUUAAGGAAACCCGGAGCCGUAGCGAAAGCGAGUCUUAAUAGGGCGUAUAGUCAGAUGCUGCAGACCCGAAACGAUGUGAUCUAUCCAUGAGCAGGUUGAAACUGGUGUAAGAGCCAGCGGAGGACCGAACAGACGGCCGUUGAAAAGGCUCCUGAUGACUUGUGGAUAGGGGUGAAAGGCCAAUCAAACAUCGUGAUAGCUGGUUCUCUCCGAAAUAUAUUUAGGUAUAGCGUUGUGUCGUAAUUAUAAGGGGUAGAGCACUGAAUGGGCUAGGGCAUAUACCAAUGUACCAAACCCUAUCAAACUCCGAAUACUUAUAAUGUAAUCACAGCAGUCAGGCGGCGAGUGAUAAAAUCCGUCGUCAAGAGGGGAACAACCCAGACUAACAGCUAAGGUCCCUAAAUCUCAUUUAAGUGGAAAACGAUGUGGAGUUACUGAAACAACCAGGAGGUUGGCUUAGAAGCAGCCAUCCUUUAAAGAAAGCGUAAUAGCUCACUGGUCUAGUGAUUCUGCGCGGAAAAUAUAACGGGGCUAAAAUGAGUACCGAAGCUUUAGACUUAGUUUUUAACUAAGUGGUAGGA